rnacentral:rRNA from 1 species
UACAGAGGGUGCAAGCGUUAAUCGGAAUUAUUGGGCGUAAAGCGCAUGUAGGUGGUUUUGUAAGUUUGAUGUGAAAGCCCUGGGCUUAACCUGGGAAUGGCGUUGGAAACUGCAAGACUAGAGUCGGCCAGAGGGUCGUGGAAUUUCCGGUGUAGCGGUGAAAUGCGUAGAGAUCGGAAAGAACAUCGAUGGCGAAGGCAGGUCUCUGGGCCACUACUGACGCUGAGAAGCGAAAGCAUGGGGAGCGAACAGG